AUCAGAGUUAAAUAACUGAUAAUUUAGUUUUUAAAAAAAUCCAACAUGGAGAUUUUCAAGUUAUUUCUUUAUUUAAAUGAGCUCCGGACAAGAAGCUAGGGAGCACUAUUUUCUUCUAAACCACACACACACACACACACACACACACACACACAACCUUUGUUUUAGGUUAAAAACCUGAGUGUGCUGGUAACAGUUGGCAUCUUUCAGAUAUGAAGCUUCAUGUAUUACCUUUUAUGAGCUCAUCCCCAAAACAAUUCUUGGUAUACCCGAGGGAAGGACCAGUUCGGAUCCCAUUGGAAGCAAGAGAACAUCAGUAUGCUUUAAAAAUGCAUUCUAUUCCCAAUGAAUAUCUUUAAAAUAUUAUCACACUCCAUAUAUAUAUAUAUAUAUAUAUAUAUAUAUAUAUAUAUAUAUAUAUGCCUAGGCUUGGAGAAUAUUAUCAACAGAAAAUCUCUACGUGAGAUGAGAUGGCAAUUCUAUUUAGUUGGCAAUAUUUACUUAAAUAAUUCUGCAUUCAAUAGUUCAUAACAUUUCAAACUUAAGUUUUUAAAAAAUUGAAAUCCAUAUGCCCAACUCUAAAAAAAAUAGCUAGUUUUUCAUAACUGUGUUUUUAUAAGUAGUACACCUUGUUCCUCAUUUAGUGGGAACAUCACUAAUUUGAACCAAAAUAUAGCAGGAAAUAUUUGUAACUAAAUUUUUUUAAACUUUGCCCUUUAAAACAAUUUCCCCUCUGUUUCUUUCUUUGAAAAUUAGAUCCUUAAUCUUUCUCUAGGAAUGUAGUAAUGUAUUUUGAUAUGUUGCUCUGCCACAACAGGUAAUUAAACAAAAUACUAAAACAUUAGAUAAAUAUAUAUUCUUCAUGUAAAUCAGUUAUCAUUUACUAUUCUAGGGUCAAUUCUUUUAUCACUAAUGUGAAAAUAAAGAUGAUUUCAAUAUUUGAGAAGUUUGAAACAAAAUUUUCCCUGUUCUCUGUCUACAGUGUCACUGUUUUACCUUAGAAAUCAAUGCUUAUCUUAUAAAAUGAAAGAUAUUUGAAGACAUGAGAAAUGUUUGCGCUGCAUAGAAAUGCAUUUUAUGAGGACAUAAGCAUAAAUCAA
rnacentral:lncRNA from 1 species